rnacentral:rRNA from 1 species
AGCGAACGCUGGCGGCAGGCCUAACACAUGCAAGUCGAACGGAUACGUCGGGAUUAGUGGCGGACGGCGGGUGGAGACGUGGGGACUUGCCCGUGAGUUCGCUACAACUGAGUGUAGGAUGACCUAAUACAGGUUGUGCUAUUACGGGAAAAGAUCUAUCGCCAUUGGAUCGGCGUUCGUCUGAUUCGCUGGUUGGGGAGGUAACCGCACAUCAUCGGGACGUUGGGUAGCUGGUGUGAGAGGAUGGUCAGCAACACUGGGAGUGAGACACGGCCCAGAAUCCUACGGGAGGGAGCAGUGGGGAAUCCUGCGCAAUGGGCGAAAGCCUGACGCAGCCAUGCCGCGUGAAUGAUGAAGGUCUUAGGAUUGUACAAUUCUUUCAGCGGGGGCGAUAAUGACGGUACCCGCAGAAGAAGCUCCGGCUAACUUCGUG